AUAAACUAAUAUAAGGUACUGUAGCUAAGCAGUAAAAUCCCACAGCCACCCGCUAAAAGCAGGAGGCAGUGGUACUCUGACCUGUACUGAUGUGGUACAGCAAAGAAAAAGGAAAUUAUGUGUGGGGAGGGGAGUUUUAUAGUACCCAACUUUUUUCUGAUUGGUUGUUUUUCUCUGUGUUAAUGUGCUUCUGUGGAGUUCUAGUAAAGAGAGACUUAAGCAAACAUGAAGCCUCCUGUCAUGUUAUAAAAUUAACAGCAAUCUUGACAGUCAGUCUGGAGUGAACUCCAUAAAGAAAUGGUUAAAC